rnacentral:SRP_RNA from 1 species
GCUGGGCAUGGUGGUGGGUGCCUGUAAUCCUAGCUACUCGGGAGGCUGAGGCAGGAGAAUCGCUUGAACCCGGGAGGCGGAGGUUGCAGUGAGCCAAGAUCGUGCCACUGCACUCCAGCCCUGGUGACAGAGUGAGACUCCGUCUCGAAAAAAAAAAAAAAAAAUUUUUUUUUGAGAUGGAGUCUUGCUCUGUUACUGAGACCGGAGUGCAGUGGUGCGAUCUUGGCUCACUGCAACCUCCACCUCCCAGGUUCAAGUGACUCUCCUGCCUCA